GACGAACGCUGGCGGCGUGCCUAAUACCUGCACGUCGAACGCAGUGGGGACGGGUGAGUAACAAGUGGGUAACCUCCCAUCAGAGGGGAUAACACUUGGAAACAGGUGCUAAACCGAUAGUGAUGGAUGGACCCGCGGUGCAUUAGCUAGUUGGUGAGGUAACGGCUUCCCAAGGCCACGAUGCAUAGCCGACCUUGUAGGGUGAUCGGCCAAACUGGGACUGAGACACGGCCCAGACUCCUACGGCAGGCUGCAGGAGGGAAGCUUCGGCAAUGGACGAAAGUAUGACCGAGCAACGCCGCGUGAGUGAAGAAGGUUUUCGGAUCGUAAAACUCUGGUGUUAGAGAAGCGUUAUCUAACCAGAAAGCCACGGCUAACUACGUGCCAGCAGCCGCGGUAAUAC
rnacentral:rRNA from 1 species